rnacentral:rRNA from 1 species
UACGUAGGUGGCAAGCGAUACUCGGAAUCACUAGGCGUAAAGCGCAGGUAGGAGGUUUGGAAAGUCUCUUGUGAAAGCUCCCGGCUUAACUGGGAGAGGUCAAGGGAAACUGCCAGGCUAGAGUGCGGUAGAGGUAGCUGGAAUUCCCGGUGUAGCGGUGAAAUGCGUAGAUAUCGGGAGGAAUACCUAUGGCGAAAGCAGGCUACUGGACCGUCACUGACUCUGAUCUGCGAAAGCUAGGGGAGCAAACAGG